rnacentral:rRNA from 1 species
AGUGAACGCUGGCGGUAGGCCUAACACAUGCAAGUCGAACGGCAGCACAGUAAGAGCUUGCUCUUACGGGUGGCGAGUGGCGGACGGGUGAGGAAUACAUCGGAAUCUACUUUUUCGUGGGGGAUAACGUAGGGAAACUUACGCUAAUACCGCAUACGACCUACGGGUGAAAGUAGGGGAUCUUCGGACCUUGCGCGAUUGAAUGAGCCGAUGUCGGAUUAGUUAGUUGGCGGGGUAAAGGCCCACCAAGGCGACGAUCCGUAGCUGGUCGGAGAGGAUGAUCAGCCACACGAGAACUGAGACACGGCCCAGACUCCUGCGGGAGGCAGCAGUGGGGAAUAUUGGACAAUGGGCGCAAGCCUGAUCCAGCCAUACCGCGUGGGUGAAGAAGGCCUUCGGGUUGUAAAGCCCUUUUGUUGGGAAAGAAAAGCAGCAGGUUAAUACCCCGCUGUUCUGACGGUACCCAAAGAAUAAGCACCGGCUAACUUCGUG